CAUUGUGGGACUUAAUUAUAUAUUUUGUAAUUGCUCUGAAAUUCUAAGAUCUUGAAAUUUAUAUUCUUAAAUCCUCUAUCAAAGUGACACAACAAGAAAAGCUAAUUUUGCGGAACGGGGUUACAUUAACUUCCGUAAAAAUAUAUUAUUUGUGGGGGUUAUCUCACCCCCGGCUAUUCCUUAAGAUAAUACUUAAAGUUCAAAAUUUAUUUCUUUUUUAGCUUUAAUUUCAUUUUCCCCCCAAAUAAUCGCAGCCGUUCUAGACUCUGGAGAAAAAUCAAGUCUCUUCUCAUCCUCUCACCGAUUGCUCACUCUUCUCUCGCUCUCAAAUUUCUUUCAAUCUCGGAUUUCUUCAACAGGUAUUAGUUCUUACCAGAAAAUCGUUGGUUGAUUGCUGAGUUUUGCAACUUUGGUUUCGUAGAUAAGAAUAAUCAAUGGUUGAAGAAGCUGAUUUUUUCCAAGUUUGGUUAUAAGCAAAAAAAAUUUUAUUUCGAUUUUUGCUGGUGCUGUAAAUCGCUGAAUCUAAGUUACAGGCUUUCAUUUGAGAUAAUGCAGCUUCAAUGGCAAGUGGUGCAUACCAUUUCUACAAGCUCUAUUGUUAGCUUACUGCUGCAAUUUAGCUUGUAAGUGAGUUUGAGUACGAGAAUCUGAUAGCAUCAAGACUAGACUUCACUUCCUGUUACCACUUACCAGUGAGUUCACUCUUCUCGUUUUUUAAUGCCUUCUCAUAUGGUUAUGUUAUCAAGUUGACUAUUUAAAGCUCUUCUAUACUUAAUAAAUUCAAUAAGAGCCUUCUUUUGCUACACCAUAUUUUAAAAAGACCAACAAUAUAUCGAGGGAAUAUACCUGUGCUGAGCACGGGUCCAAUGAGCUUGUCAUUUUUUUACUUAGCACGAAGAAUGUUUAUUCACAGGUCGUGGAGCAAAAUUCAAACAAUCUGCAUUCCAUAAGAGUGAGUUGAACAAUGUAGAAUAACUUGUAGAUGUAAUAACUAUUGUCUUUAACUUGUGAUUUUGACUACUUUCUGACCUUAAUCUUAAUGUCUUAUCAUUUUGAAGUUGAUAGUGAAAACUUAUUAUUAGACGGAGGAUUAACAGUUUCUGUUACUGCCUCAGUUAACAGUGACAUUCUUGUCGACAUAAUUAAGCUAAAAUAGACAUAGAGUGGGCAAAAUUCAUUUAUAGGAUACACACACUACCAUUGGCCUGGAGAAUGUACAUCUUGGAGAACUUCAGUUUCUUAAAGAUGGAAAUAUUUGUGAAUAUUUUCUUGCUAUAGUGUCAAUAUUUGUGGCUACAUUGUUGAAGAAGAUAGAAGUUCUUAUAAGCAGUCAUGCACAACUCGCUCAAGUUCUGCUGUGCUCUACAAAUCUUGUGAGUUUAUUGUAUUUAUUUAUUUGAUUUUGUCCUUUAGAUAGUUAGUGAAUAUGGAACGAAAGUUAAAUGCAAAGUUCCAUUGACCCAAACAGAUUUGGAAGAGUUACAAGAAUGUCUUUUUUCUUUGUUGUUGCGCUGAUUUACAACUAAGGAAGUUUGAUGAAACAUUUUUUCCAUCUAGAAGUUGACAUAAGUUUUGAUCAGUACUUUGUUGUUGUUGACUUGCUAUGUUUACUAGAUGAGAUGUCAGAUCUAUACAACUACAACUAUCGAGGGGUAAAUUCAAUAUGUUCUCUAAUGCUUCUGAUUUGAAGGCCAUCAUUCUGAAAAGUCAGGUAUGUUUUGAUGGUAUAACAAACUAACUAAGGAAACCAUCUUGACUGUGCUUGGAUAUGAGGUUAGAGAACUCUGUUUCAAAUAUCUAGUUGUGCCAAACAAUUUUACCAGGGAAUCUUGCCUUACUAAUCUCUACAUUAUUAAUCUUUGUAUUACAUGACACCUAAAAGGCUUACAGUAGUCCAAUUAAACCAAUACUGGACAAGAUUACUGCCAAGAUUACAUCUUGGAUGCCAGUGGACUCUCUUUGCAAGUAAAAUUCAAUUUCUCCCAACGGAUCCGAUCCUAAGCAUCAUUAGACUCAUGUUCAGUUUUGAGAGGUCACGUUAUUCUGGUAAUUGUGCCUUUUCAAAAAAUUAUAAUUGAUCAUUCGAAUAAUAACUGGUAUUUUCUAUUCACUAGUUGGACUUCUACAUUUCAAGUUAUAGCUUUUAUAUAGUUGUUGGUGUUGUUUAAUGAAUAUUUUUACAUUGUUUUGGAACUUAGUGCACCUAUAAUUAUGUCAUAUAGGCAUAGCAAGGUGGUUAGCAUUGGUAAGUAAAUUCUUUUUCUCUGAAACUUUGAUACUUCAAAUAAUUAAGGAUUAGAGGUACAUUUCAGGGUACAACUAAUGUGAGAUCUAGCCAUAUAAAUGUUACUAAUUAAUUUCCUUUUCCAAUGAAUUCAUCUUUAGAGUUUAUCUAACUAGGACCCAUUUAUUUUUACUUUUUUUUGGUAAAGAAAGAUGAAGAAUUUCAUUAGAAACUAAAAUUAGUAUAGGGGAGUAGUGACCUGUGGCCAUCGCUGACCCAAUUGGUUUGAAUUACGCAAAAAGGUAGCUAAUGAUGUAUUUCUUGAGUGGACUCUUAAUCCUGUAAGUUGUAUUAUUUGGCUGGACAUAAACAAUAGUAAUUGUUUUCCUUUUGCUCCCUGACAUGUGUAAGUGGGGAUAAUUCAUUACUUGUGCAUAUGAAAUUUUACUGUGUAUUAUGUUGUUAUUGUUGUAAUAUAUUCUUGUCAACUAACAUGUCUUAUUCCACCAUCUAAUUUGACUGGCUGGUAGUACUAAACUCAUCAAGUAUGCAUAUAUUCAUCCAUGUUUUGAGUUUGGAUGGAAGUUACUUAAUAUGUAAUUCUCUUUGCAGCUAGGUGAUAUCGUAGUGAAACCCGCUGAAGUUUCAUGAUAAUGUUGCAGAUCCUAUGUUGAGCUUGGAUGCUAGUAGUUUGAAGUUUAAGCAAGUUUUUGUAGUGAUUUGAAGUUCAAACAAGAUUUGAAGUUUAAUCUUAGCGGUUGAAGUGAAUGACAUUUUAAUUUAUUUGUAAAACUAUAAUACACUUCAUGAUAUAUUUUUGUAUUGAAAUAUUGUGUUAUUUCUUAUAUUAAUAUGUCCUUUUAGGUUUGA